rnacentral:rRNA from 1 species
GACGAACGCUGGCGGCGUGCUUAACACAUGCAAGUCGAACGGUGAAGCGCCUUCCUUUUUGGUGGGUGUGGAUGAGUGGCGAACGGGUGAGUAACACGUGAGUAACCUGCCCCCUUCUUCUGGAUAACCGCAUGAAAGUGUGGCUAAUACGGGAUAUUCUGGGUCUGUCGCAUGAUGGGUCUGGGAAAGAUAUUGUUUCGGUGGGGGAUGGGCUCGCGGCCUAUCAGCUUGUUGGUGGGGUGAUGGCCUACCAAGGCGGUGACGGGUAGCCGGCCUGAGAGGGUGGACGGUCACACCGGGACUGAGACACGGCCCAGACUCCUACGGGAGGCAGCAGUGGGGAAUAUUGCACAAUGGGCGCAAGCCUGAUGCAGCGACGCCGCGUGAGGGAUGGAGGCCUUCGGGUUGUGAACCUCUUUCGCCAGUGAAGCAGGCCUGCCUCGUUUGUGGGUGGGUUGACGGUAGCUGGAGAAGAAGCGCCGGCUAACUACGUG